GACCGCGUAGCUCAGUUGGCAGAGCAUUGGGCUAGUAUUCCAAAGGUCGUAGGUUCGAAUCCCUCCAUGGCCA